GGACGAACGCUGGCGGCGUGCCUAACACAUGCAAGUCGAGCGGAGAUGAUGUGAGGAAGUUUUCGGAUGGAAUCACAUUAUUUAGCGGCGGACGGGUGAGUAACGCGUGAGCGACCAACCUUGCACAGGGGGAUAACGGACCGAAAGGUUCACUAAUACCGCAUGAGACCACGGUGUUGCAUGACACAGAGGUCAAAGGAGAGAUCCGGUGCAAGACGGGCUCGCGUCCGAUUAGGUAGUUGGAGGGGUAACGGCCCACCAAGCCUAUGAUCGGUAGCCGACCUGAGAGGGUGAUCGGCCACAUUGGAACUGGGAUACGGUCCAAACUCCUACGGGAGGCAGCAGUGGGGAAUAUUGGGCAAAUGGGGGAAACCCUGACCCAGCAACGCCGCGUGAAGGAAGAAGGUUUUCGGAUUGUAAACUUCUGUCCUUGGUGAAGAGAAGAAGACGGUAGCCAAGGAGGAAGCCCCGGCUAACUACGUGCCAGCAGCGGC
rnacentral:rRNA from 1 species